UAAUAAGUGAAAUAUUUCAUUUGGUGUCAUUUUAUAGCCAUGUUAACACAUUAAAAUAAUAAAAUAUACAUAAUUUUAUAAGAAAAUAUUAUAAUAACCUUAAAAAAAAACUAGAAAAAAAUAUGGAAAAGCCUAAAGUUAGGAAGACUAAAACCAUGCAGAUUACUUACCCAGCCCCCUAUCUACACUCUUGGAACAGUGAAAUACCACCGCUUUUGAAGAAGUGCAGCCCUAUAAGGACACGUCGGCUCUUCCACAGUCCACGAAGACCCAUAAGUACUCCAAAAAUAAAGAGCAAAUCCUACUCAGCAGUAAGAGG